rnacentral:rRNA from 1 species
AUUCCGGUUGAUCCUGCCGGAGGCUAUUGCUAUCGGGAUCCGAUUCAGUCAUGCUAGUCGCACGGGUUCAGACCCGUGGCGAAUAGCUCCGUAACACGUGGUCAAACUACCCUCUGGACCGGGAUACCCUCGGGAAACUGAGGCUAAUCCCGGAUACUGCUUUCACGCUGGAACGCGGAAAGCCGGAAACGGUCCGCCGCCGGAGGACGUGACUGCGGCCGAUUAGGUAGACGGUGGGGUAACGGCCCACCGUGCCGAUAAUCGGUACGGGUUGUGAGAGCAAGAACCCGGAGACGGACUCUGAGACAAGAGUCCGGGCCCUACGGGGCGCAGCAGACGCGAAACCUUUACACUGCACGACAGUGCGAUAAGGGGAUCCCGAGUGCGAGGGCAUACAGUCCUCGCUUUUCGUGACCGUAAGGUGGUCUCAGAAUAAGGGCUGGGCAAGACCGGUGCCAGCCGCCGCGGUAAUACCGGCAGCCCGAGUGAUAGCCACUCUUAUUGGGCCUAAAGCGUCCGUAGCUGGCCGAACGGGUCCGUCGGGAAAUCCACCCGCUCAACGGGUGGGCGUCCGGCGGAAACCAGUCGGCUUGGGACCGGAGGACCUGCGGGGUACGUCCGGGGUAGGAGUGAAAUCCCGUAAUCCCGAACGGACCGCCGGUGGCGAAAGCGCCGCAGGAGGACGGAUCCGACAGUGAGGGACGAAAGCUUGGGUCUCGAACCGGAUUAGAUACCCGGGUAGUCCAAGCCGUAAACGAUGCUCGCUAGGUGUGGCGCAGGCUACGAGCCUGCGCUGUGCCGUAGGGAAGCCGAGAAGCGAGCCGCCUGGGAAGUACGUCCGCAAGGAUGAAACUUAAAGGAAUUGGCGGGGGAGCACUACAACCGGAGGAGCCUGCGGUUUAAUUGGACUCAACGCCGGAGCUCGUACCGUGAGGCGUCCUGUUAAGUCAGGCAACGAGCGAGACCCGCAUCCCUAAUUGCCAGCAACACCCACGUGGUGGUUGGGUACAUUAGGGAGACUGCCGCUGCCAAAGCGGAGGAAGGAACGGGCAACGGUAGGUCAGUAUGCCCCGAAUGUGCCGGGCUACACGCGGGCUACAAUGGCCGAGACAGUGGGACGCUACCCCGAGAGGGGGCGCUAAUCUCCUAACCUCGGUCGUAGUUCGGAUUGCGGGUUGAAACCCACCCGCAUGAAGCUGGAUUCGGUAGUAAUCGCAUUUCAGAAGAGUGCGGUGAAUACGUCCCUGCUCCUUGCACACACCGCCCGUCAAAGCACCCGAGUGAGGUCCGGAUGAGGUCGACGCAACGUCGAUCGAAUCUGGGCUUCGCAAGGGGGCUUAAGUCGUAACAAGGUAGCCGUAGGGGAAUCUGCGGCUGGAUCACCUCCUACAGAACGG